rnacentral:rRNA from 1 species
CCUACGGGAGGCAGCAGUGAGGAAUAUUGGUCAAUGGACGAGAGUCUGAACCAGCCAAGUAGCGUGAAGGAUGACUGCCCUAUGGGUUGUAAACUUCUUUUAUAUGGGAAUAAAACAGGGUAUGCAUACCCUCUUGUAUGUACCAUAUGAAUAAGGAACGGCUAACUCCGUGCCAGCAGCCGCGGUAAUACGGAGGAUCCGAGCGUUAUCCGGAUUUAUUGGGUUUAAAGGGAGCUUAGGUGGAUUGUUAAGUCAGUUGUGAAAGUUUGCGGCUCAACCGUAAAAUUGCAGUUGAAACUGGCAGUCUUGAGUACAGUAGAGGUGGGCGGAAUUCGUGGUGUAGCGGUGAAAUGCUUAGAUAUCACGAAGAACUCCGAUUGCGAAGGCAGCUCACUGGACUGCAACUGACACUGAUGCUCGAAAGUGUGGGGAUCAAACAGGAUUAGAUACCCCUGUAGUC